CCUCCGUGAUCCCUGAAGGACUGUCAAAUUGUACAAACUUGGAGUUGACAUCUGCACAAACAGAGUUUGUGUUCAGAAAGGAUUUGACACGGUGCCCUGUGUUUAGCAAGUUAAAAACUUUGUUAAUCAAUGAGUGGUGCAUUACUACUAGCCUUGGUGCACUAAUCAGCUUUCUCCAACACUCUCCAUGUCUAGAGAAGCCAAUUCUUCAAUUCUGUGAGGACAAUGAAGAUUUACUGGAAAUGGGAGAACUUAUGAUAUAUCGAAGGAGCCCUUUACAUUGAAGCAUCUUACUGUUGAAGUUAAAUGUCACGAGGUUCAUGAGGGCAUUCACAGAAUUCUUGAUCUUCUUCGUUCCUAUGGUGUUCCUUUUGAGCAAAUUAAGAUCCAACCUGCUCCACAGCUAGUUAUGUUAGAUAGAGAUGAGGGCCCUUGGCCUUCUGCAAGUUAACACUUGACAACUCCUUGGUUCUUGUUUUUGUUUUGUCUGCUUUUGUAUGUGUGAACUAUAUCAAUAAAAAAGAAUAUAUUAGAUUGAUUAGGAUGUGAAAGUGUAAAGUUUGAUUUGAGCUGUAUUGGAA